CCUACGGGAGGCAGCAGUGGGGAAUAUUGCGCAAUGGGCGAAAGCCUGACGCAGCGACGCCGCGUGAGGGAUGAAGGUCUUCGGAUCGUAAACCUCUGUCAGCAGGGAAGUACGGUCACUGUGCUAAUCAGCGGUGAAUUGACGGUACCUGCAAAGAAAGCACCGGCUAACUCCGUCCCAGCAGCCGCGGUAAUACGGAGGGUGCGAGCGUGAAUCGGAAUUACUGGGCGUAAAGCGCUCGUAGGCGGUAUGUCAAGUCUAGGGUGAAAUCCCCGCGCUCAACGUGGGAACUGCCUUUGAAACUGGCAAACUGGAGAGUGGGAGAGGAUAGUGGAAUGCAAGGUGUAGGAGUGAAAUGCGUAGAGAUCAGGAGGAACAUCAGUGGCGAAGGCGACUAUCUGGCACAUAACUGACGCUGAGGAGCGAAAGCGUGGGUAGCAAACAGGAUUAGAUACCCUUGUAGUC
rnacentral:rRNA from 1 species